UCAAAUUGAUUUUUAAAUUCAAUUUUAUAAAGAUUUGUUACUUAUCAAAUUAGUACUAUCUAAUUUGGUAAGUAACAAAAUUAAACAAGAAAACAUAUAUUUAUGUAGGGUUGAUCAAAUUUGGUAAUUAGCUUUUAUUUGUUUUCCUAUAUUACCCUUACGAAUGGUAACCUGUUGAGCAGGUACCACUAUAUAAAAGACAAUCUCGCCCUUGAAAUAUGAAGGACUAAAUUUAAUUUACCUGGUGUAUUGAAGCAUUACUCUAGGGGCGUGUUUGGUUCGAAGUCGGAAUCGAAAUCGGAAACGGAAUGGGAAUAAGCUGGAAUCGGAAUCGGAAUGACUCAUUAUCUCAUUCUGUUUGGUUCACCAUCUGAAUCGGAAUCAAAAUGAACCAUUCCUAUUGUCGGUGUUUGGUUCAGGUAGUUAUCAGAAACGGAAUCAAAUUAAUAUACCAAUUUUACCCUUAUAAUACAUUUUAAUUAUUUUUAACUAUUUUGAAUACUCUAUUUAAAAUAUAAAUGAGCAACUUAAAAAAUAAUGAAUAAAAAGUAAAAGAAAAUUAUAUUUUAUAUUAUUUAAUAUGAAAAUAAAUUAUUUAUUAUUAUUUUUAUUGUAAUAAUUACAUGGUAAUAUAUAAAUAAUAAAAUUUUAUAUAAUUUUAAUAAAUAGAAUAGUUAUCAAAACAUAAUCAUUUCCACAAAGAAAAAAAGUAAAAGAGAACUCAUAUUUUCAAGAUCAAUAUAUAGCAAACU
rnacentral:lncRNA from 1 species